rnacentral:lncRNA from 1 species
CAGCAGACAGCGAGGAGCAGGACAGGGCUGCACGUGACCAGGGGGCAGGAACAGGGCUCUGCAGGCUUUGUUGGAGGGUCUGGAUUGGAGCUGACUGAAAUAGUGUAAUGGCAAAUUUACACUCUUCACGUCUGUCUGAAAAUAGCACUCUCUCAGUAAAUGUGAACUUUGUCAGAAGGGGGUCCUUAUGCUGAUUUUGAAAUUGACAUUAGCAUCUGUCCUGAAGGAAGUGGAAGAGAAACCUCAUAAGUCCGUGGCCAUAUGAGAAGAACGCAGGACCCCUCAGAGCGCUCAUCAAAUCCAGAUGGAGUUUCCAAAACAGAGAUAUAGAUCAAUGGAACAGAACAGAGCCCUCAGAAAUAACGCUGCAUAUCUACAAAUAUCCAAUCUUUGACAAACCUGAGAAAAACAAGCAAUGGGGAAAGGAUUCCCUAUUUAAUAAAUGGUGCUGGGAAAACUGACUAGCCA